rnacentral:lncRNA from 1 species
UGAGGGCCUCCUGGAUGAGCUGGUGCUGCUGCUCCAGCAGGUCCAGGUUGGGCUUGUAGUCCACGAUGCUGCGUUCAUACUGCUUCAGGUGGCUCAGCUGGUCCUCCAUGGCGCUCUCCAUCCAGUUGUUGAAGGGGGCCGCGCGCUUGGCGUAUUCCAGGUGCAGCUGGUCGAUGGCCUCCAGCUGCUUCUCUGUUUUC